rnacentral:misc_RNA from 1 species
GAUGAAGAACGCAGCGAAAUGCGAUAAGUAAUGUGAAUUGCAGAAUUCAGUGAAUCAUCGAAUCUUUGAACGCACAUUGCGCCCCCUGGUAUUCCGGGGGGCAUGCCUGUUCGAGCGUCAUAUUAACCACUCCCGCUUGCGGGGUCUUGGGCUUCGCCUCCGGGCGGGCCUUAAAAUCAGUGGCGGUGCCGUCGGGCUCUACGCGUAGUAAAUUUUCUCGCGAUAGGGUCCCGGUGGAUGCUUGCCAACAACCCCCAACUUCUUAAGGUUGACCUCGGAUCAGGUAGGGAUACCCGCUGAACUUAAGCAUAUCAAUAAGCGGAGGA